ACUUAAAAAAAAAAACAACUUUCUUAGGUGCCUGGGUGGCUCAGCUGGUUAAGCAUCUGACUCUUGGUUUCAGCUCAGGUCAUGAUCUCAUGGUUUCAUGGGUUCAAGCCCCCAGGUUCUGUCUGUGCAGAGCCUGCUUGGAUUCUCUCCCUCUCUCUUUCUGCCCCUCCCUCACUCAUGCUGAAUUUGUCGAUCUCAAAAUAAACUUAAAAAAAUACUAUUUAAAAUGAAUUAUAUGUCAAUCCAAAGGAAAGUAAAAUCUCCCUUUUACCCCCAGGUUUUUAUUUAAAUUCCAGUUAGUUAACAUAUAUGGUAAGAUAGGUUUCAGCAGAAUUUAGUGAUUCAUCACUUAAAUAACACCCAGUGCUCAUCCCAACAAGUGCCCUCCUUAAUGUUCAUCACCCAUUUAGCCCAUCCCCCCACCCAACUCCCCUCCAGCAACCCUCUGUUCGUUCUCUAUUGCAAACACUUCUAAUUAAUGAAAGAAGAUGUUAGUUCAAGGAUGCUUUCUACACAGUAUAGAUUCAUAGAGUUAAACGUACACAUAAAUUUACAAACAAUGCUACCUUAAGGAAAGAAGGUGUUUGUUGAAAGAUGCUUUCAACACCAUAAACUACAAAUUAUGGGGAACAAUGUGUUUUAGAGAUAUAAAAGAAAAAUGUGAUCACUGCUCUGCAAUAAACAUACCUUGGUUUGUUUCUUAUUUGAAAAUAUAUGCAAACUGUAUAGAAUUUAGAAAAAAUGAGCAAAAACCUGUUUAGGUUCUUUUUAAAAUUUUUGUUAUGGAUCUGACUUUUCUCCCUCUCCCUGGCCAGGGCUUAACAUCUCCUAUUUCUUGCUGGGAAUUGUAGGAAAGGAAAUCCUAAAGCAGAAUAAUUCAAAAGACCAGACGAGAAUAACACUGUUUCUUGAUUACUCACUGAGGAAGAGAGAAACCGUACUUUCACAUCAUCAUACAGAGGUGGACAGCUGGAUAAAUGAAUUAUUACGUUGUCUGUUUCAAUAUCGUGAAGUAUCUGUGAAUGAACACAUGGAAUUCACAACCUUAAAACCAGCUGGUUGACAUCAGCCUUAGCACCAUUUUUCUAGAUUUGUCUCCUCCAGUAUGGGAAACAAAAGGAACGAUAAGCUAUUGGGACUGCUCUAAAGUAAGCUUUUUCACAGUCAAGGAAACCACCAACAAAUUGAAAAGGCAACCUCCUGAGUGGGAGGAAAUAUUUUCAAAUGGUAUAUCUUAUAAGGAGUUAAUAUCCAAAUAUAAAGAACUUCUAAAACUCAACACCAAAAAAUAAAUCCAAUUUAAAGGUGGGCAGAGGACCUGAAUAGACAUUUUCCAAAGAGGACAUACACAUGAAAAGAUACCCAACGUCACUAACCAUGACAGAAAUGUAAAUCAAAACCACAAUGAGAUAUCACUUAACACCUGUCAGGAUGGCUACAAUAAAAAAGACAAGAAAUAACAAGUGUUGGCAACGAUGUGGUGAAUGAGGAACACGUGUGCACCACUAGCUGGAAUGUAAAUUGGUGCAGCCACUGCAGAAAACCGUAUUGACGUUCCUCAAGAAAUGAAAAAUGCAAAUACCAUAUGAUCCGGUAAUUGCACUACCAGGAAUCUAUCCAAAGAAAACAAAAACAGUAAUUUGAAAAGAUAUCUGCACCUCUACGUUUAUUGCAGCAUUGUUUAUAAUAGCCAAGAUAUGGAAGCUACUCAAGUGUCCACUGAUAGAUGAAUGAAUAAAGAAGUGGUAUAUAAAUACAAUGGAGUAUUACCCAUAAAAAGAAGGAGAUUUUGCCAUUUGUGAGAACAUGGAUGGACUUAGAGGGUAUUAUGCUAAAUGAAAUAAGUCAGACAAAAAAGGACAAAUACCAUAUGGUUUUACUUAUACGUGGAAUCUAAAAAGUAAAACAAAUGCACAAACAAAAAAAGCAGAACCAGACCUGUAAAAAUAGAGAACUGAUGGUUGCUAAAGGGGAAGCAAGUGGCGAGGUGAAGGAGAGUGGGAGAGAAAGGCUUCCAGCUAUGUAAUGAAUAGAUCAUGGGGAUAAAAGGUACAGCAUUAGGAAAUACAGUGAGUGAUACUGUAUGUGUAUGAUGUUGGACAGUUGCUACACUUGUGAACAUAACAUACAGACUCGUCAAAUCACUAGGUCAUAUGUCUAAAACUAACAUUUUGUGUCAAAUAUACUUCAAUAAAAAAAGUUUGUUUUAAAAAAA